rnacentral:rRNA from 1 species
GACGAACGCUGGCGGCGUGCUUAACACAUGCAAGUCGAGCGGUAAGGCCCUUUCGGGGUACACGAGCGGCGAACGGGUGAGUAACACGUGGGUGACCUGCCCUCAGCUCUGGGAUAAGCCUGGGAAACCGGGUCUAAUACCGGAUAUGACUCCAUGACGCAUGUUGUGGGGUGGAAAGCCUUGUGCGGCUGAGGAUGGGCCCGCGGCCUAUCAGCUUGUUGGUGGGGUGA